rnacentral:lncRNA from 1 species
GUGGAGCAGAGCUGCACUGACUCUUUCUUAUCCAUGGGUAGCACAAGCGAAAAAUAAACUUCUGUGGUGCAAAGUCACUGAGAUUCAGGAGUUGUUGCCAAAGCGGAGCCGAGCUCAGUGGUUCCCAGUCUGGUCCCAGCCACCACGUAAGAUGUUCCUUUGCUCUUCCUUCAUCUUCCACCAUGAUUGUGAGGCCUCCCCAGCCAUGCUGAACUGUGGAAACCAAAUCAGUUAAGGAAUGGAGGAAGAUAUUGAGAGUGCUGAGUCUGGGGCCUAGGUAUUUCUUGGGACCAGGAACUGGGUAAGGGGUAACCACCACAGGCCCACAGGCUAAAAUUGAGCUGGAGUAAGUGGCAACAGAGAGUAUUUAUUGUCCCCUAAGAGCCCUGGUAAGCUUCUGAGAAAUUAAGUGCUCAUUUCCUAGCAGAUAAAGAUCCACUGACUCACACCUGCCUCUCUGCUUGUCCAGAGAGGUACAGAGAAGUAAUGACUUGGACUUGAGGAAGGCCCUUGUAGGACAUGUGAAUGCCAGUGCUCAUGGAGAAAGGUGGAGGAAGAGAGCCAGAGUGCAGUUCACCUCUGGGAGAGCAGACCAGAGUGGCUUCCGUGGGCACAUGCUGGAUUGAAGUGAGAAGACGUGACUACUAAAGUUGAGGCCCCAAGUCUCAGCUUCUUCCCCCUCCAAAGCAUGAGUGGAGGAUUCACUUAAGGCCACUUUGAAGCCCAUAUUGGAGGAGCAUUACUCACUCUGAGGAUCCUGGCAUAGGCAGAUGCAUCACUUGUAUUGAAGUAUAUUAUCUGCUGUGAUAUUUAUGAUGAAAUGAGUUUGCCAGCCAUCGUCUAUCAGGGGAUCAAACAUAGGCACCUGCCUGUCCAAGGGGGUCUAAGUCACAGUACAGAAGUGGUUUGCAAAGGCUGGUGGGAUGGUGUGGCAGGCCUGUGGAGUUGAAUAAAAAUCCUGAUGUCCUUCCUGGCAUGAAGAAUGGAGCUGCCAAGCUGCCCCCAGGAGAAGCGUGCUGCCUAUGCAUCUCACUGGACUUCUGUGUACAGAAGAAAUAUUGGUGGUUUGAC